AGACCCGAAACCCGGUGAUCUAGCCAUGGGCAGGUUGAAGGUUGGGUAACACUAACUGGAGGACCGAACCGACUAAUGUUGAAAAAUUAGCGGAUGACCUGUGGCUGGGGGUGAAAGGCCAAUCAAACCGGGAGAUAGCUGGUUCUCCCCGAAAGCUAUUUAGGUAGCGCCUCGUGAAUUCAUCUCCGGGGGUAGAGCACUGUUUCGGCUAGGGGGCCAUCCCGGCUUACCAACCCGAUGCAAACUGCGAAUACCGGAGAAUGUUAUCACGGGAGACACACGGCGGGUGCUAACGUCCGUCGUGAAGAGGGAAACAACCCAGACCGCCAGCUAAGGUCCCAAAGUCAUGGUUAAGUGGGAAACGAUGUGGGAAGGCCCAGACAGCCAGGAUGUUGGCUUAGAAGCAGCCAUCAUUUAAAGAAAGCGUAAUAGCUCACUGGUCGAGUCGGCCUGCGCGGAAGAUGUAACGGGGCUAAACCAUGCACCGAAGCUGCGGCAGCGACGCUUAUGCGUUGUUGGGUAGGGGAGCGUUCUGUAAGCCUGUGAAGGUGUGUCGUGAGGCAUGCUGGAGGUAUCAGAAGUGCGAAUGCUGACAUAAGUAACGAUAAAGCGGGUGAAAAGCCCGCUCGCCGGAAGACCAAGGGUUCCUGUCCAACGUUAAUCGGGGCAGGGUGAGUCGACCCCUAAGGCGAGGCCGAAAGGCGUAGUCGAUGGGAAACGGGUUAAUAUUCCCGUACUUGGUGUUACUGCGAAGGGGGGACGGAGAAGGCUAUGUUGGCCGGGCGACGGUUGUCCCGGUUUAAGCGUGUAGGUGUGUGUUCCAGGUAAAUCCGGUUCACUUUAACACUGAGGCGUGACGACGAGGCACUACGGUGCUGAAGCAACAAAUGCCCUGCUUCCAGGAAAAGCCUCUAAGCAUCAGGUAACAUCAAAUCGUACCCCAAACCGACACAGGUGGUCAGGUAGAGAAUACCAAGGCGCUUGAGAGAACUCGGGUGAAGGAACUAGGCAAAAUGGUGCCGUAACUUCGGGAGAAGGCACGCUGACAUGUAGGUGAAGUGAUUUACUCAUGGAGCUGAAGUCAGUCGAAGAUACCAGCUGGCUGCAACUGUUUAUUAAAAACACAGCACUGUGCAAACACGAAAGUGGACGUAUACGGUGUGACGCCUGCCCGGUGCCGGAAGGUUAAUUGAUGGGGUCAGCGCAAGCGAAGCUCCUGAUCGAAGCCCCGGUAAACGGCGGCCGUAACUAUAACGGUCCUAAGGUAGCGAAAUUCCUUGUCGGGUAAGUUCCGACCUGCACGAAUGGCGUAAUGAUGGCCAGGCUGUCUCCACCCGAGACUCAGUGAAAUUGAACUCGCUGUGAAGAUGCAGUGUACCCGCGGCAAGACGGAAAGACCCCGUGAACCUUUACUAUAGCUUGACACUGAACAUUGAGCCUUGAUGUGUAGGAUAGGUGGGAGGCUUUGAAGUGUGGACGCCAGUCUGCAUGGAGCCGACCUUGAAAUACCACCCUUUAAUGUUUGA
rnacentral:rRNA from 1 species